rnacentral:rRNA from 1 species
UCGAGGAUCUUCGGCAAUGGGCGCAAGCCUGACCGAGCGACGCCGCGUGCGCGAUGAAGGCCUUCGGGUUGUAAAGCGCUGUCGAGGGGAAGGAAGGGCAACUUGACCGACCCCUGGAGGAAGCACGGGCUAAGUUCGUGCCAGCAGCCGCGGUAAGACGAACCGUGCGAACGUUGUUCGGAUUCACUGGGCUUAAAGGGCGCGUAGGCGGGCAAGCAAGUCGGGGGUGAAAUCCUUCAGCUCAACUGGAGAACGGCCUCCGAUACUGCAUGUCUUGAGGGAGGUAGGGGCAGGUGGAACUUCCGGUGGAGCGGUGAAAUGCGUAGAUAUCGGAAGGAACGCCGGUGGCGAAAGCGACCUGCUGGAUCUCUUCUGACGCUGAGGCGCGAAAGCCAGGGGAGCAAACGG